UGGGGUGUAGCCAAGCGGUAAGGCAACGGACUUUGACUCCGUCACUCGCUGGUUCAAAUCCAGCCAUCCCAGCCA
rnacentral:tRNA from 1 species